UACAGAGGGUGCUAGCGUUGCUCGGAAUCAUUGGGCGUAAAGGGCGUGUAGGCGGUUUGUUAAGUCAUGUGUGAAAUCCCUCGGCUCAACCGGGGAACGACGCAUGAAACUGGCAAGCUAGAGUACCAAAGAGGGGGGUGGAAUUCCCGGUGUAGCGGUGAAAUGCGUAGAUAUCAGGAGGAACACCGGUGGUGCAGACGGCUCUCUGGACCGUAACUGACGCUGAGACACGAAAGCGUGGGUAGCAAACAGG
rnacentral:rRNA from 1 species